rnacentral:rRNA from 1 species
UACGGAGGGCGCGAGCGUUAUUCGGAAUCAUUGGGCGUAAAGCGCGUGUAGGCGGCUGGGUAAGUCGGAUGUGAAGGCCCGGGGCUCAACCCCGGAAUUGCAUUUGAAACUGCCUAGCUAGAGUCUCGGAGAGGAGGGCGGAAUUCCCGGUGUAGAGGUGAAAUUCGUAGAUAUCGGGAGGAACACCAGUGGCGAAGGCGGCCCUCUGGACGAUGACUGACGCUGAGACGCGAAAGCGUGGGGAGCAAACAGG